GCUUAAUUGGACGAAUGAGCUUUGCUUCACUCCUUAGGUUUUCUUUGUCUGCAAGUGGUUGAUAUAAAGGAGUCUGUUCACUGUUUAGAGAUGCACGUAUCAAGUUCCAGAAUUAUCUCUGGGGGCUGGAAUGAAAGAGAUGAUGAUUAUUAUUCCAUUUGGGCAGGUGAGACAAAAGCAACGCAAAGGAGUAAAAAGUGGGAUCUUUCAAGAAAUAUAACUGGAUGGAUAGUGGACGUGUUUUGGUUCUAAUUUCAUUGUUUCUGGGUUUGAAAGGAUGGAUUGGGGAAGACAAUGUGCAAAUGACAGUAAUAUCCUCACAUGCUUUGCAUGUGAGGUGACUUAACCAAGAAAAACAAACAAUGUUUGUGUUAAAGGUUGAACCUGUAGCAAAACAUGAACAUAAAGAUUGGUUUUUGCCGAUUUCAUAGUGAAAGGUGAAGCCCCAAGAACUUCAAAUAUUUCAAAUGGUAUGAAAUAUAUUACGUUCUUAAUUAAUAUAAAUUUAUCUAUUUCAAAAUAUAAUACAC